ACACGUAGGUGACUUGCCCCGAAGAUGGGGAUAACCUCUGGAAACGGGGGCUAAUACCCAAUGUGCUCGGUGAUUCGGUUGAUCGAGUAAAGCUCCGGCGCUUCGGGAGAGGCCUGCGGCCCAUCAGCUAGUUGGUAGGGUAACGGCCUACCAAGGCAGAGACGGGUAGGGGGCGUGAGAGCGCGGACCCCCACACUGGCACUGCGACACGGGCCAGACUCCUACGGGAGGCAGCAGUAAGGAAUAUUGCGCAAUGGACGAAAGUCAGACGCAGCGACGCCGCGUGGGCGAUGAAGGCCUUCGGGUUGUAAAGCCCUUUUAUGGGGGAAGAGAAAAAGGACGGUACCCCAUGAAUAAGUCCCGGCUAACUACGUGCCAGCAGCCGCGGUAAAACGUAGGGGACGAGCGUUAUCCGGAUUCACUAGGCGUAAAGAGCGUUGAGGCGGUUCCGUAAGUUGGGCGUGAAAGCUCCGGGCUUAACCCGGAGAUGUCGUUCAAUACUGCGGGGCUUGAGGACAGCAGAGGAAGGUGGAAUUCCCGGUGUAGUGGUGAAAUGCGUAGAUAUCGGGAGGAACACCCGUGGCGAAGGCGGCCUUCUGGGCUGUUCCUGACGCUGAAGGCGAAAGCUAGGGGAGCGAACGGGAUUAGAUACCCCGGUAGUCCUAGCUGUAAACGAUGGAUGCUGGGUGUGGGGGGUGUAAAUUCCCUCUGUGCCGAAGCAAACGCGUUAAGCAUCCCGCCUGGGGACUACGGCCGCAAGGCUAAAACUCAAACGAAUUGACGGGGGCCCGCACAAGCAGCGGAGCGUGUGGUUUAAUUCGAUGCUACACGAAGAACCUUACCUGGGUUUGACAUGCACGUGGUAGGGAACCGAAAGGGGACCGACCUUCGGGAGCGUGCACAGGUGCUGCAUGGCUGUCGUCAGCUCGUGCUGUGAGCGUGGGGUUAAGUCCGGUAAAGAGCGCAACCCUUGCCCUUAGUUACAAGUGUCUAAGGGGACUGCCCGGGACAAUUGGGAGGAAGGUGGGGAUGAUGUCAAGUCAGCAUGUCCUUUAUAUCCA
rnacentral:rRNA from 1 species